rnacentral:rRNA from 1 species
GACGAACGCUGGCGGCGUGCUUAACACAUGCAAGUCGAACGGAAAGGCCCCUUUGGGGGUACUCGAGUGGCGAACGGGUGAGUAACACGUGAGUAACCUGCCCUUGACUUCGGGAUAACUUCAGGAAACUGGGGCUAAUACCGGAUAGGAAUCCUUGCUGCAUGGUGGGGGUUGGAAAGCUUCGGCGGUUUUGGAUGGACUCGCGGCUUAUCAGCUUGUUGGUGGGGUAGUGGCUUACCAAGGCUUUGACGGGUAGCCGGCCUGAGAGGGCGACCGGCCACAUUGGGACUGAGAUACGGCCCAGACUCCUACGGGAGGCAGCAGUGGGGAAUAUUGCACAAUGGGCGGAAGCCUGAUGCAGCAACGCCGCGUGCGGGAUGACGGCCUUCGGGUUGUAAACCGCUUUCAGCAGGGGCGAAGCUUGUGGUGACGGUACCUGCAGAAGAGGCACCGGCUAACUACGU